AACAAGGUUUCCGUAGGUGAACCUGCGGAAGGAUCAUUGCCGAAACCUGCACAGCAGAACGACUCGCGAACAAGUUAAAACACCGGGCAAGGGACGAGGGGUGCGCAAGUUCCCCGAGUCGCGAACCCAUGGCCGGGGAUCGCCCUCGGGCGGUCCUCGCCCGAACAACGAACCCCCGGCGCGGAAUGCGCCAAGGAAAUCAAAAUUGAAUUGCACGCGUCCCCCCCGUUCGCGGGCGGCGGAGGCGUCUCUCUGAAACACAAACGACUCUCGGCAACGGAUAUCUCGGCUCUCGCAUCGAUGAAGAACGUAGCGAAAUGCGAUACUUGGUGUGAAUUGCAGAAUCCCGUGAACCAUCGAGUCUUUGAACGCAAGUUGCGCCCGAAUCCAUUAGGCCGAGGGCACGUCUGCCUGGGCGUCACGAAUGCCGUCGCCCCCAACCCCGCACGAGAGUCGGGGCGGAGGGGCGGACAUUGGCCUCCCGUGUCUCGCGGUGCGGUUGGCCAAAACGCGAGUCCUUGGCGACGGACGUCACGACAAGCGGUGGUCGCAAAAGGCCCUCUUCUCCUGUCGUGCGGUGACCCGUCGCCAGCGAAAGCUCCCGCGACCCUGUUGCGCCGUCCCCGAAGGCGCGCGCUCCGACCGCGACCCCAGGUCAGGCGGGACUACCCGCUGAGU
rnacentral:rRNA from 1 species